rnacentral:rRNA from 1 species
AUGGCGCUGGAGAGCGACACGCGCAGCGCGCGGCGACCACUCCUGUCCAACGACGAGCGGCACGUGCUGCGGUUGCUGCGCGACGUCUCCAUGGGCGCCGGGGUGCGGCGCCGCCGCCUGCUGACGGCUCCAAUUUCCCCGACGGCGUCCUACUCCCGUGUCUGA